UACAGAGGGGGCAAGCGUUGUUCGGAAUUACUGGGCGUAAAGGGCGCGUAGGCGGCCUGUUAAGUCAGACGUGAAAUCCCUCGGCUCAACCGGGGAACUGCGUCUGAUACUGGCGGGCUUGAAUUCGGGAGAGGGAUGUGGAAUUCCAGGUGUAGCGGUGAAAUGCGUAGAUAUCUGGAGGAAUACCGGUGGCGAAGGCGGCAUCCUGGACCGACAUUGACGCUGAUGAGCGAAAGCUAGGGGAGCAAACGGG
rnacentral:rRNA from 1 species